UGCGAGGUCUGCCAAUGGUAGGCAAACGGGCUCUGAACCCGUGAAUCUAGGUUCGAAUCCUAGCCUCGCAG
rnacentral:tRNA from 1 species